rnacentral:piRNA from 1 species
UNGCGCUUUCUCUGACUCGGGUGCAGUCG